UACAGAGGUCUCAAGCGUUGUUCGGAUUCAUUGGGCGUAAAGGGUGCGUAGGCGGCGUGGUAAGUCGGGUGUGAAAUCUCGGAGCUUAACUCCGAAACUGCAUUCGAUACUGCCGUGCUUGAGGACUGGAGAGGAGACUGGAAUUUACGGUGUAGCGGUGAAAUGCGUAGAUAUCGUAAGGAAGACCAGUGGCGAAGGCGGGUCUCUGGACAGUUCCUGACACUGAGGCACGAAGGCCAGGGGAGCAAACGGG
rnacentral:rRNA from 1 species